rnacentral:rRNA from 1 species
CCGCUUUCAGCAGGGAAGAAGCGAAAGUGACGGUACCUGCAGAAGAAGCACCGGCUAACUAUGUGCCAGCAGCCGCGGUAAUACAUAGGGUGCAAGCGUUGUCCGGAAUUAUUGGGCGUAAAGAGCUCGUAGGUGGUUCGUCACGUCGGAUGUGAAACUCUGGGGCUUAACCCCAGACCUGCAUUCGAUACGGGCGAGCUUGAGUAUGGUAGGGGAGNCUGGAAUUCCUGGUGUAGCGGUGGAAUGCGCANAUAUCAGGAGGAACACCAAUGGCGAAGGCAGGNCUCUGGGCCAUUACUGACACUGAGGAGCG